CAGGGUCAGCACGUAAACUUAAAAAUUAAAUAAUAAAUAUCCCGGGGAAAGUUUUUUAACUCAUACCACAUAGACAUUUAUGUGUGGUAACAUUAGAAAACACAAAAGAUAAAACUUCGAUACCUUUAAUUGUUUAAAGUGAUUUGAAAGUUUGAAAAACAUGAUUGUGUUAAACUACGACAGAACGUAUGGUGCCAAAAUGAACUAUACAACAGAACAUAGAUAUUACUUUGAUAAGUUUUUGAGUUUGUACUGGCCUUUGAGGAGAACACCAAGGUUUCCAUCUUUGCCCUACGACUUAUUGGAUUUGUGGCCCACUGAGCAUCAUCUCAGAAAAAUUAGAGUGAGAAACAAUUUAUAUGGACUAUAAAACAUUAGCAAAGGAAUAGUGGAUUUAUAAAUAGUAUUAAAUUUUAAUUUGUUUAAAAUAUAAACAAUACACAUUUAUUGUUGUGGUAGUAAAUCAUUAAUUAUAUUAAAUUGUUACUGUUACGAUCAAUAUAUUUAUAUUGUUAGGAUUUAGUUGUUAAGUAAAUUAUAUUAAAAAUAUUAUAAAAUGAUAAAAAAAUAUUCAUUUACAGACAUGUGAAUGUAGGGAACUAAAACAAAAGGAGAGAUUACCUAAAUUACCAUAAGUUUAAGCAGCAUAUAGAGUCAUCUAAAAAAUAUAUUUAAAAAUGGAGUAUAAAAAUA